rnacentral:misc_RNA from 1 species
GAUGAAGAACGUAGCGAAAUGCGACACUUGGUGUGAAUUGCAGAAUCCCGCGAAUCAUCGAGUUUUUGAACGCAAGUUGCGCCCGAAGCCAUUCGGCCGAGGGCACGUCUGCCUGGGUGUCACGCAUCGUUGCCCCCCCCAAACUUCGGUUCGGGCGGGGCGGAAGUUGGCCUCCCGUGCGUGCCUGCGCGCGCGGUUAGCCCAAAAGCGAGUCCUCGGCGACGAGCGCCACGACAAUCGGUGGUUUUUUUACCCUCGUUCCUCGUCGUGCGUGCCCCGUCGCCCGAACGCGCUCUUGCGACCCUCACGCGUCGCCUCGGCGGCGCUCCCAACGCGACCCCAGGUCAGGCGGGACUACCCGCUGAGUUUAAGCAUAUCAAUAAGCGGAGGA